GGGGAAUUAGCUCAGCUGAGCACCUGCUUUGCAAGCAGGGGUCAGCAGUUCGAUCCGCUAUUCUCCA
rnacentral:tRNA from 1 species